GUUGUAUAGUCAAGUAAUUAAGUGCAUGUGGUGGAUGCCUUGGCAGUCAGAGGCGAUGAAAGACGUGAUAGCCUGCGAAAAGCUCCGGGGAGGCGGCAAAUAUCCUUUGAUCCGGAGAUGUCUGAAUGGGGGAACCCACCUACUUUAAGGUAGGUAUUGCAACAUGAAUACAUAGUGUUGCAAGGCGAACGAGGGGAAGUGAAACAUCUCAGUACCCUUAGGAAAAGAAAUCAAUUGAGAUUCCCUCAGUAGCGGCGAGCGAACGGGGAUCAGCCCAUUAAGUUAUGUGUGUUUUAGUGGAACGCUCUGGGAAGUGCGAACGUAGAGGGUGAUAUUCCCGUACACGAAAGGGCACACAUAAUGAUGACGAGUAGGGCGAGGCACGUGAAACCUUGUCUGAAUAUGGGGGGACCAUCCUCCAAGGCUAAAUACUCCUGACUGACCGAUAGUGAACCAGUACCGUGAGGGAAAGGCGAAAAGAACCCCUGUGAGGGGAGUGAAAUAGAUCCUGAAACCGCAUGCAUACAAGCAGUGGGAGCACCUUCGUGGUGUGACUGCGUACCUUUUGUAUAAUGGGUCAGCGACUUAUAUUCAGUAGCAAGGUUAACCGUAUAGGGGAGCCGUAGAGAAAUCGAGUCUUAAUAGGGCGUUUAGUUGCUGGGUAUAGACCCGAAACCAGGCGAUCUAUCCAUGAGCAGGUUGAAGGUUGGGUAACACUAACUGGAGGACCGAACCCACUGUCGUUGAAAAGCCAGGGGAUGACUUGUGGAUAGGGGUGAAAGGCUAAUCAAGCCUGGUGAUAGCUGGUUCUCCCCGAAAGCUAUUUAGGUAGCGCCUCGGACGAAUACCAUAGGGGGUAGAGCACUGUUUCGGCUAGGGGGUCAUCCCGACUUACCAAACCGAUGCAAACUCCGAAUACCUAUGAGUACUAUCCGGGAGACAGACUGCGGGUGCUAACGUCCGUAGUCAAGAGGAAAACAAUCCAGACCGCCAGCUAAGGCCCCAAAAUCAUAGUUAAGUGGGAAACGAUGUGGGAAGGCAUAGACAGCUAGGAGGUUGGCUUAGAAGCAGCCACCCUUUAAAGAAAGCGUAAUAGCUCACUAGUCGAGUCGGCCUGCGCGGAAGAUGUAACGGGGCUAAAACUAUGUGCCGAAGCUGCGGAUGUAUACUUUGUAUACGUGGUAGGGGAGCGUUCUGUAAGCCGAUGAAGGUGUGUUGAGAAGCAUGCUGGAGGUAUCAGAAGUGCGAAUGCUGACGUGAGUAACGACAAAACGGGUGAAAAACCCGUUCGCCGAAAGACCAAGGGUUCCAGUCCAACGUUAAUCGGGGCUGGGUGAGUCGACCCCUAAGGCGAGGCCGAAAGGCGUAGUCGAUGGGAAAAUGGUUAAUAUUCCAUUACUUCUGUGUAAUGCGAUGAGAGGACGGAGAAGGCUAAAUCAGCCUGGCGUUGGUUGUCCAGGUGAAAGGAUGUAGGCAUGUAUCUUAGGCAAAUCCGGGGUACUCUAUGCUGAGAUCUGAUAGCAAGCUGUACUUGUACAGCGAAGUGGUUGAUGCCAUGCUUCCAGGAAAAGUCUCUAAGCUUCAGUUACACAGGAAUCGUACCCGAAACCGACACAGGUGGUCAGGUCGAGUAGACCAAGGCGCUUGAGAGAACUCUGCUGAAGGAACUAGGCAAAAUGGUACCGUAACUUCGGGAGAAGGUACGCUGUUGUUGGUGAUGGAACUCGCUUCCUGAGCUGACGACAGCCGCAGAAACCAGGCCGCUGCAACUGUUUAUUAAAAACAUAGCACUCUGCAAACACGAAAGUGGACGUAUAGGGUGUGAUGCCUGCCCGGUGCUGGAAGGUUAAUUGAUGGGGUUAGCGUAAGCGAAGCUCUUGAUCGAAGCCCCAGUAAACGGCGGCCGUAACUAUAACGGUCCUAAGGUAGCGAAAUUCCUUGUCGGGUAAGUUCCGACCUGCACGAAUGGCAUAAUGAUGGCGGCGCUGUCUCCAGCAGAGGCUCAGUGAAAUCGAAAUCGCUGUGAAGAUGCAGUGUACCCGCGGCUAGACGGAAAGACCCCGUGAACCUUUACUGCAGCUUGACACUGAACUUUGACCUUACUUGUGUAG
rnacentral:rRNA from 1 species